rnacentral:rRNA from 1 species
UACGUAGGGUGCGAGCGUUUGUCCGGAAUUAUUGGGCGUAAAGAGCUUGUAGGCGGUUUGUCGCGUCUGCUGUGAAAAUCCGGGGCUCAACCCCGGACUUGCAGUGGGUACGGGCAGACUAGAGUGUGGUAGGGGAGACUGGAAUUCCUGGUGUAGCGGUGAAAUGCGCAGAUAUCAGGAGGAACACCGAUGGCGAAGGCAGGUCUCUGGGCCACUACUGACGCUGAGGCUCGAAAGCGUGGGGAGCAAACAGG